CAGCCUUCCGCUGAUGAUCAUUUCUUGGUGGCUUUGCAGCUCGGUUUAAAACUCUGGAUUUUGCGGUCAAUUACAUCAUCGAAUUUGGCAUUAUUGUUAGUUCCUCAAAUUAAGUGUAAGAUCGCAGUUUUUUCGGCGGCGGUGCACCAAACGCGGCAGAGCCAAGACGGUAGUCAAACAUGGCGUCUUCGUUCACCCCAAUAGGCAGCGAAAACACAACAGCCAUAGCGGUGAUUGAAUUAACCUGCAAAUUGGAUAACAGCUCCAAUGCCGGAAACAGUUCCAACAUCACCGAUGUUCGUGCAAAGGAACUUCAGGUCAAUCAAAUACUGAUGAUAAUCUCCUACGUCAUAAUAUGCGUAAUCGGACUAAUUGGAAAUGGACUUGUUAUUUAUGUGGUCCUGCAAUUUUCAAAGAUGAAAACGGUGACAAACAUGUACAUUUUGAAUUUGGCAAUUUCCGAUGUUUUGUUCUUGAUCAGCUUACCGUUUUUAAUAACAACUAUGAUGCUAGAAUACUGGAUAUUUGGAAAUGCGAUGUGUAAGAUAUAUUUUGUGUUCUUCUCUAUAAACUUCUUCACUAGUGUAUUCACGUUGACAGCCAUGUCUGCAGAUAGGUACCUCGCCGUGUGCCACCCUGUUCGAUCUGUAUAUUAUCGAACAACACGCAUAGCUUUCUUCGUAUGCCUGAUUAUAUGGUCUAUCUCCUUCCUUGUGAUGUUGCCAAUAAUCCUGUAUUCCAGAACCGUUUCAAACAAAAAACAUAUAGGGAAAGAUACAUGCACCAUCAAGUGGCCAGAUGACCAGCCGAUACCAGGUGAGAAGGCGUUUACCUGGUAUACAUUUCUUCUUGGAUUUCUCAUUCCCGUGGCAUUGAUUUCAGUGUUUUACAUUUCGGUCAUCCUACGGUUGAAAAGUGUGGGGCCACGGAAGAAGUCAAAGGAAAGGAAAAAGUCCAACCGUAAAGUUACACGAAUGGUUCUUGCCAUGAUUUCAGUGUAUGUCAUAUGCUGGCUACCUUACUGGUGUUUCCAAGGAUAUCUGACAUUCAAACCUAAGGACACGAACGUACCUGACUGGCAAAUUUAUAUGUUUAGCGCCUUUACAGUGCUCUCGUUUGCGAACAGCAUGAUUAAUCCGUUACUUUAUGCUUUCCUAAGUGAGGUGUUUAGGAAAAGCUUUAUGAAAGCAUUUAAUUGUGCUAGAUUUCUAGAGUCAUCUAAAAGCACAGGAGCUGACUAUAGCAUAUUUCCAAGAUCGACAACAAGAAAGGAAAACGGAAAAGAUGAAAAGUAUGAGUUUACAUCUAUGGUCAAUCAGACGGAAAAUACUUGCAUGCACACGAACAAUGCGUUUAAUAUGACUCCAAUGAUACAAAAAGGAGAACAAAACGAUAACGAUAUUCCGAAUAAUGAAACAAUACAAUAUGUGGACAAGGAAAUUCAGACGAAUAGGCGUGAGCGUAGAAGUGAUCAACUUGAACCUGCAAAAAACGAAUAAAGAAUGAUGAUCAAAGGAUAUAAAGUUCAUAUGUGUUGCCCCAAUUUUGAUCGCUCAAGAUGCUGACAGUUUGCGCAUUCGUCUGACAGUUAUUUGUAGACAGGAAAGUUUGACUGAUUCCAUGUGGCGACAAAAUGUUCUACGCAAUUAGCCUUGUCACAUACGUACUACGGAUACAGCGCAUGUUAAGGGGCUGACUUACAAAGUGGUAACUCAAAAUGAAGGUUUAGAUAGUACCGGUGUUUAUGCAUUUAUAAUUACAAUAAAAGUGCAUAAGAACCAUACGUUCCAUUGAAAACUUGCAUAUAAGGAAUGAAUUGCGUGGUUGAUGUCAUUAUCGGGUAUUAACGCAGUUGAGCUGCUUAAAGCGUGUGGAGUCCGAAGGACUGAACGCGUCCUUUAACCAGCCCAACUUCGUUCAUAUACUCGAUAAUGACAUUAACUACGCAAUGUAUUACUUUUUUUACAUCAAUAGUUCAUUACUUCUCUUCAAAAAGAAGAUUACUUAAUUUCAUUUAAGAAAACCCUAAAGUAAUUCUUUCUCGCCCAUUCUGUAAAUGGAACGACCUGCCCGUAACCGAAAACAGUCUAUCAUAUGACGUCAUAAUGACGGGAAAAAAAUAAGCACUUCAUCGUUUAAUCGAUUUAUAACGUAAAAAGGGUAACGCUGAAGAAAACAAUUCAUUCUACAAUUAAUAAAUUUACACUUUUCAACAUGUUGAUUUGAAUUUUUUUAGUUGCCUGCCUACUAAAUACAAACACUAACAGGAUACUUUUCAAUUUAUAUCUAAACGCGACAAUUCGUGAUCCGAACAUAUUCGAAGAUGUUGCGUUGAUUGAAAAUGUUCGCAAUACUCGAAAGGUCGUUCAUUUAAGAAAUGGAAGUUGAGGUGUAAAUGUAUAAAAGUCAUUGACCCGAAAGUUAAUUUUAUGACAAUGUGUAUGAUAUUAUGUCGCUUGUUAUGAAUUGCAUUAUGCAGGAUCAUGAAAACAAAAAAUACAUAUGUCGCUUGCUUUUUUGUCGGUAAGAAACACUAUCUAGAUAUCGAAAAAAAUAAUUGGAUUUAACGAUUUUUUUAAUAUUGGAUAUUGUAAAGCUUUGGUUUUUUUAAAAUUAAGUACGCGUAAUCAUUACAUUACAUAUGUGACAAACGUUGUCAGCUUUCAUCUAAUCUUUACAAAGAGUCCGAAUACACGAACUAAGUGGAUCUCCUUACUGUUUUUAACAUGUGUCAAAGAAGUUCGCAAAAACAGUUUACAAAUCAUAAUCGUGAGUUCUACUAAAUGUUGUCUAACCACACCGCAAAUGCAUCAUAAUGCAUUUCGAUUAAAAUUACAUUUAGCAUUCUUAACAUAAACCAAAUCAAGGGGCAGUGUCUUAUUGGUACAUAUGUUCUUGUUUUGAUAUAUUUAAGUGUCCAUAGUAUGUCUCUAUGUUUUGAUCAGACACUUGAAAAGAAAACGUGCACGUGAAUAAAAUUAAAGAGACUUUAUAACACUUAGCAGACUCGCUCAGCUAUCGUAUAAUUAUCUCCCGGCUUCGGGAGGUGACUUUUGUUUUGGCGUUGUUCGUCCGUCUGUCAUUCCGUCCGACCUUCCGUUCGUCUAUCUGUAACCAUAUAUUGGCAAAUUCAGAUUACGUUCAGAGAUCUCGAAAGUGUGUAUAAGCGGAUCAAAUGAGGUCAAAAACUAAGUCAUUAGGUCAAAAUUUAGCUUCUUUUGGUUUGCAAACUUAUCAUCGGAACCAUAUUUUGGUAUGGAUUGGUUAAAUAAUGUUCAAACUUGAACAUGCAUUUUUUAGUCGACUAUUAAUCAAACUUCAUCAGAAUGUUCCCCCUUGAUAACGUCAGAUGAUAUUUACACUUGAACAAAAUGGUUCUCUGAAUAAAAUCUCACAGCAUUUGGUUGGUCACAUGGGUUUAAUAACUAGAUCAGUAUAUUAUAAAAGUCGUCGAGAGGCAUUAUAGCUGGUCCAAUAUUCAUGAAACUUUAUCAGUAUGUUUCCUUGAUCACUUGGUCAGAACCUGAGUCAUUAUGUCAAGUUUCAUGAAAAAAUAACAUGUUCAAAACCAAAUGUUCGUCUUGUUUGGUCAGACUUUGUUAACAGUGAAGUCAGAAUAAUCACCUUGAUAUUAUCUUGGUAAACUUUAAAAGUGGGUUACAUGGGGUCAAAAACAAGUUCAUCGGUUCGAAUCUUAGUGAUUUUUUGGGGACAAAAGUAUAGUGUUUUUGUUGUGAUUCUUACAGUAAAUUAUAUCAUUGUUCAGUAUCCUUUAAAACGGAGUGUGACUGUCAGUUUUUAGUGUGUUUCAUAUUUUAUUUCUUUUUGAAAAAUAUGUGAUCGGAAAUAAGUCAACAAGACUGAUGCUUUCCUAAUCAGAAAAUAUACAACGUCACUUGAACCAUUCAUAUUAAUGUUCUCAGUGUUGCAAAGUUAAUUUGACUUCCAUAUUUUCCUCAGGAAUUCCUCAAGACACAUUGAUAAUACGAGCAUUUUAUUAAAAUGGUAAAUUGUAAAUGUGCCAUAAAUGUAAGCCUCUUGCAAUGCUUCAAGUUCACGGCAUUAAUCAUAACUAAUCAUAGUUUACUUAUGAUCAAAUACAAUCUUUUUUCCAAAUAUUAUAGAGGAUAUUUGUUGAUUUCAGUGUAUGAUCGUAUUGUAUUACACGAGUGUCAUAGAAAAUAUAGUUUUUCAAUAAUCAUGAGUAAAGUAAAAUGAGAUAUUACUUUUAAAUCAACAAUUUUUCUGUAUCAUUUAUGCUUAUUGUUGGAGUUUUAUUGGUGUGUAGCUUUAUUUUUCUAAAUAGACUUUUUUGAAAUCAUAUUAACUACGCUACUUCCCGAGUGAGGGAACUCGGCAAAGGAUUGAAUACUUAUUUCUACGCCGGCCCCUGGAGAAACAGUUAUCCAAGAAUUAUGUUAUAGUUUGUUCUGAACUCGUGCUUCGCAAAUAUGUUAUGAACAUUCAUCAAUCAAAUUUUAUAAUCGCAUCCAUGUUUCAAAUAAUAAAAAUAAAUGUGCAAUAAUUUAUUUUAAAAUUGAACAGGGAAUUUAUACAUGACAAAAUCACACUGAUGGCCAUUUACUGAAUGAACACUUGAAAAGUCAAACGUGUAAGCAAAACAAAUGUGGAUUCACAUUGGAUUAAAACAAAUCCAAGAAUCAGAGCUUGUUACAUAAAACAUAGGUAUUAUAUCACCUCCAACUGUCCGAGACCAGUCUGAUUUCCUAGUUGAAGGGUCGUUUAAAAGAUAAGAGAUUAAAUACUUAUUUCUACGCCGGCCCCUGGAGAAAUAGUUAUCCAAGAAUUAUGUUAUAGUUUGUUCUGAACUCGUGCUUCGCAAAUAUGUUAUGAACAUUCAUCAAUCAAAUUUUAUAAUCGCAUCCAUGUUUCAAAUAAUAAAAAUAAAUGUGCAAUAAUUUAUUUUAAAAUUGAACAGGGAAUUUAUACAUGACAAAAUCACACUGAUGGCCAUUUACUGAAUGAACACUUGAAAAGUCAAACGUGUAAGCAAAACAAAUGUGGAUUCACAUUGGAUUAAAACAAAUCCAAGAAUCAGAGCUUGUUACAUAAAACAUAGGUAUUAUAUCACCUCCAACUGUCCGAGACCAGUCUGAUUUCCUAGUUGAAGGGUCGUUUAAAAGAUAAAGAGUUAAAAAUACGCUUGGUUGAUGAUAUAUUUUUAAGUAUGGUUGGGUUAAAAAAUCAUUUAACUGUUGUUUGGAUUUUCUUGGAAGUUCGUAUUAAAAAGUCAUACAGUUUAAAAAGAUAUUCGAUAGAUGAUAUAACAUCGAAAUAAUAUUCGAGCACUUGUUUUUCUCUGUAAUUUGUUUUUGACGAAGCAAAUAUUCGAGCUUUCAGCUUCAAAGCAACGUUUGAAAACAGCAUUACCAUUUUUUACUAAUUGUUAAGUUAUGUUUAUUCUCAAAAGUACAUUUGUUUAAACUAAGCAACCUCCUUUUUUUAAUCAAAUCAAUUCAUUGGGCAAAAUAUACUGGUUUAAAAGUGAUAUCAAGACAACUGGUGUCAUAUAAUAACGUAUAUGUAAGUAACAUAUUGAAAAUAAAUUAUUCAUACAUCAUAUACCACAUACAUACAUCAAUCCUUAAAGUAUUAGUCAGAUAUUAACGUUACUAUAAUUAAUGCCAGUAUGUUUCAUACUGCUGCAUUCGUCUUGCUUGAGUUAUGGCCCUUGGCAUUUUCAUGUAGUAGAAGCGAUUGUAAAAGUAUCGUCAGUCCAUGAUGUCACCAAAAUGUAAGACAAAUAUGUGGCACAUUAAUGAUGAAUUACAUGAAAUACCCUUUUUGUAAGAAGCGGCAAAACAGUUUGUAUUUUCAUUUUUACAAUUUUUUAUUUCUUUCCUUUAUUAAACGUGUGUGGUCGACCCAUUUUGUAAUAAACGUGCUAUCAUAUACCCAAUAAUAAGACAUAUUUACUACACAUAUACUCUUUGAAUCCCUGAUUGUUGAUGAAAACGUUGUUAUUUGCUCGGUUUGAUAUUGUUGUGUUUGCCAGUAGCCAGUACCGCAUUUCUAUCUAUUUUCAUAGCUGGCUACCAUGUUUUCUUAUGUUUUGAUCGUGAAAAUAAUUCAUAUUUGAAUUGAUAUGUGAAUAAAUGAU